GUUUACGGCCAUGCCACCCUGAACAAGCCUAAUCCCGUCUGAUCUCGGAAGCUAAGCAGGGUCGGGCCUAGUUAGUACUUGGAUGAGAGACCACCAAGGAAAACCAGGUGCUGUAGGCG
rnacentral:rRNA from 1 species